UACAGAGGAGCCAAGCGUUGUCCGGAUUGACUGGGCGUAAAGCGCACGCAGGCGGACGCGCGCGUGGGGUGUGAAAUCUGGCCGCUUAACGGCCAGGCGCCAUCCCAUACGGCGCGUCUGGAGUGAUGCAGAGGUCGGUGGAAUUGCCGGUGUAGUGGUGAAAUCUGCAGAGAUCGGGAGGAACACCAGUCGCGAAGGCGCUUAACUGGCUCAUUACUGACGCUCAGGGACGAAAGCUAGGGUAGCAAACGGG
rnacentral:rRNA from 1 species